GCCUAUCUGCAGUUGAAACCAUGACACCAUGGCGUAAACCAAGCAAGAAAAAUGAUGUCAUAGUGUAUUUGAACGUUAGUUAAAUGCAUGAGGCUAUAUUGGGGCAUUUACCAAUAUAGCUUUGGUUUAUUGGGUUACCUUUAUUUGGUCAAUGCAAGAAGUAGUUGCAGGAUAAAAUAUUUUAAUUCAAUUUGAUGGUUUACAUAUUGAUAGGUCCCAUGUUGAUUUCAAGGGUCUAGAAACCCUAAAAAUGUUUAGAAAAAAGUAAGGAAACAAUGAAAUUAUCUUGGGAACUUUGUAAAAAUAUAUAGGCCCUAAUGAUUAAGUACAACAAAAAUAUUCUGCAAAAUAUUUUAAAUUUAAGGAAAAAAUGUUUUCCACACAUUAGACCAAUCCUAAAAAUUGUUUAUAUUAUUAACAAUUAGAUACAAUAAAGUGAUUUUGAACUAGGUUGCAUUGGAAUAACAUCUUUUUUGUAUAAUUUGAGGAACCCAUUCUUGUAUAUAAUUUAAAAAUUGAUCAUUUUACUACAUAAAAUAGUAAAAUGUUUGUCAGAUGCCUAAGGGGCUGUUAAAAUGCAGUGUUUGUCAGAUGCCUAAGGGGCUGUGAAAAAUGCAGUGAUAUCAUGAUUCUGUUAAUUUGUGAAGGUAUAAAUAAUUUCUUAACCUAACAAUUUGUACAUGGAAACAGUCUGUCAAUAUUCCAACAUUUGAAUUCUAUUUAGUAUUUCUGAGUAUAGUUUGAACUUGUUUGUAAUUGUGAAAUUCAAUGAUUUUAGGGUUUGUAUUGAGACUUUGUUUUAGGAUAAAGAUAGAAGAGAACAACUGAUUGUGUUUAACAGGGUUAAUUCUGGGAUAAUUCAAAACACCCUAACUAAUGUUUCUACAUCUACAGUUUCUUGAGUGAAGAGGUGUAUUUACAAAGAAAGAAUUUGGACAAAAUGAAUUCCUAUUACCGUAUGAAGGAGAGUUAUUAGAGAAAGAACCAGAUGUAGAUGACACAUAUAUUUUUGAAUUUACAUUCAAAGG